UACAGAGGUCUCAAGCGUUGUUCGGAUUCAUUGGGCGUAAAGGGUGCGCAGGUGGCAGUGCAAGUCGAGUGUGAAAUUUCGGGGCUCAACCCCGAAACUGCACUUGAUACUGCAUUGCUCGAGGACUGUAGAGGAGAGUGGAAUUCACGGUGUAGCAGUGAAAUGCGUAGAUAUCGUGAGGAAGACCAGUUGCGAAGGCGACUCUCUGGGCAGCUCCUGACACUCAUGCACGAAGGCCAGGGGAGCAAACGGG
rnacentral:rRNA from 1 species